UUUCCGUAGGUGAACCUGCGGAAGGAUCAUUAUUGGAUUUUGAACCUUCAGGCUGCUGCUGGCUCUCCUCGGAGGGCAUGUGCACGCUUGUUGUCCAUUAUUUCUCCCACUGUGCACAAAUUGUAGACCUUUCAGUAGGCCUAUGUUGUUUUUCACAAUCUCUGAAUGUAAUAGAAUGGUUUUGAAUCUUGGGAAAUACGAUACAACUUUCAGCAACGGAUCUCUUGGCUCUC
rnacentral:misc_RNA from 1 species